GAUGAACGCUGGCGGCGUGCCUAACACAUGCAAGUCGAACGGAGUUUUUAGAGGAAGCCUUUCGGGGUGGAACCUUUGAACUUAGUGGCGGACGGGUGAGUAACGCGUGAGCAAUCUGCCUUCAAGAGGGGGACAACAGCUGGAAACGGCUGCUAACACCGCAUAAGCGCACAGUACCGCAUGGUACAGUGUGAAAAACUCCGGUGGUGUAGGAUGGACCCGCGUCCGAUUAGCUAGUUGGUGAGGUAAGAGCUCACCAAGGCGACGAUCGGUAGCCGGCCUGAGAGGGCGGACGGCCACAUUGGGACUGAGACACGGCCCAGACUCCUGCGGGAGGCAGCAGUGGGGGAUAUUGCACAAUGGGGGAAACCCUGAUGCAGCGACGCCGCGUGAGUGAAGAAGUAUUUCGGUAUGUAAAGCUCUAUCAGCAGGGAAGAAAAUGACGGUACCUGACUAAGAAGCCCCGGCUAACUACGUGCCAGCCGCCGCCGUAAGAC
rnacentral:rRNA from 1 species